rnacentral:rRNA from 1 species
CGUGUAGGCGGCCAUGCAAGUCGGGUGUGAAAGCCCUCGGCUUAACCGAGGAAGUGCGCCCGAAACUGCAUGGCUCGAGUACCGGAGAGGAUGGCGGAAUUCCCCAAGUAGAGGUGAAAUUCGUAGAUAUGGGGAGGAACACCGGUGGCGAAGGCGGCCAUCUGGACGGAUACUGACGCUGAGACGCGAAAGCGUGGGGAGCAAACAGGAUUAGAUACCCUGGUAGUCCACGCCGUAAACGAUGAGAACUAGGUGUCGUGGGUGUUGACCCCCGCGGUGCCGCAGCUAACGCAUUAAGUUCUCCGCCUGGGAAGUACGGCCGCAAGGCUAAA